rfam:Triticum aestivum genome assembly, contig: Triticum_aestivum_CS42_TGACv1_scaffold_591938_7BS
UCGUUAGCCCGUGUCGUAAGGUGUUGGGUUAAGUCUCGCAGCGAGCGCAACCCUCGUGUUUAGUAGCCACCAUGAGUUUGGAACCCUGAAAGACCGCCGGUGUUAAGCCGGAGGAAGGAGAGGUAUAUGA